GAUCAAGUUUUUAAAUUAUUUAGAUUAAAAUUUUUUAUAGGUGAAGUUAAUAACUUUCACUGGUCGCCCCAACCGAACUUUAUUUCUUUAUAAAAAAGUUAAGAUUUAUAGGGUCUUCUCGUCCUUUAAAAAAAUCUUAACUUUUUUAUAAAGAAAUAAAGUUCGAUUAGUUAAAAUUGAGACAAUAAAAAUCUUUAUUUAUUCGUUCAUACGAUUUUACAAUUAAUAAACUAAUUAUUAUGCUACCUUUGCAA
rnacentral:rRNA from 1 species